rnacentral:rRNA from 1 species
CCUACGGGUGGCAGCAGUAGGGAAUAUUGCUCAAUGGGGGAAACCCUGAAGCAGCAACGCCGCGUGGAGGAUGAAGGUUUUCGGAUUGUAAACUCCUUUUGUUAGAGAAGAUAAUGACGGUAUCUAACGAAUAAGCACUGGCUAACUCCGUGCCAGCAGCCGCGGUAAUACGGAGGGUGCCAGCGUUACUCGGAAUCACUGGGCGUAAAGGGCGCGUAGGCGGGAUAGCAAGUCAGAUGUGAAAUCCUAUGGCUUAACCAUAGAACUGCAUUUGAAACUGUUAGUCUAGAGUAUGGGAGAGGUAGGUGGAAUUCGUGGUGUAGGGGUAAAAUCCGUAGAGAUCAAGAAGAAUACUCAUUGCGAAGGCGACCUGCUAGCACAAAACUGACGCUGAUGCGCGAAAGCGUGGGGAGCAAACAGGAUUAGAUACCCCGGUAGUC